AGCAGCCGCGGUAAUUCCAGCUCCAAUAGCGUAUAUUAAAGUUGUUGCAGUUAAAAAGCUCGUAGUUGAAUUUCGGGAUCAAUACGUCGGUCGUGCUUCGGUACGUACUGGCGUCAUUGGUUUCUCCCUUCUGACGAACCAUGAUGUCAUUAACUUGGUGUCAUGGGAAAUCAGGACUGUUACUUUGAAAAAAUUAGAGUGUUUAAAGCAGGCUCGCGCUUGAAUACAUUAGCAUGGAAUAAUGAAAUAGGACGUUCGAUCCUAUUUUGUUGGUUUCUAGGAUCAACGUAAUGAUUAAUAGGGAUAGUUGGGGGCAUUAGUAUUCAAUUGUCAGAGGUGAAAUUCUUGGAUUUAUUGAAGACUAACUACUGCGAAAGCAUUUGCCAAGGAUGUUUUCAUUAAUCAAGAACGAAAGUUAGGGGAUCGAAGACGAUCAGAUACCGUCGUAGUCUUAACCAUAAACUAUGCCGACUAGGGAUCGGAUGAUGUUAAUUUUUUAAUGACUCAUUCGGCGCCUUACG
rnacentral:rRNA from 1 species